ACCGUUGGGCAUGAGCUUCACGACGAGCCGCGGGUAGGCGAUGUUGGAGCAGCCCACCUCCGUGCCGCACACGCGCCUGCACACCUCAGGCACCACGCACGCCACCUCGUCUGCCAGAGAGAGGCCACCGCGCCGUUAGGACGGGGCCUGGUCUGGGAAUCCCAGGAGGCGCAGCCCUAUACCCGCACCUGGUCGCUGCACCAGUACCAGCCCGAGACGAUUGUGAGUCCGAGGAGCAGCGCGGGCCACGGCAGAUCCCCGGUCACGGGGUGCCGGAGCAGGUGGUAGGAGUCGGGCCGGGGUCGAUAGCAGAAGCUGGAGAUGUUUCCCACGGCUGGAUCCUCGGACACCGUCAGCGAAGUCGCUGCUCCCAGGUAUUUGUCGAAGAGACCCGAAUACCCGCCCACCUCGUGGAAGGCUGCCGGGCAAGGCCGUCAGGGGACCCUCCUUAGGACCCUCAGACCGGAGACGCGCAACGGCCCCGCGCGCAGGCCGAGAGCUCCGCGACCAUGCCCUCCGCGCCCCUCCCUGGUAGGCGAGCCCCUACCGUAACCCAUGAGGAUGCAGGCGCCCCCCAG
ensembl:lncRNA novel transcript, antisense to SLC5A2